UACGUAGGGGGCAAGCGUUGUCCGGAGUUACUGGGCGUAAAGCGCACGCAGGCGGUCUCUUAAGUUUGGAGUGACAGUUGGUGGCUUAACUGCCAAAGUGCUUCGAAAACUGAGAGACUUGAGGGCUUCAGAGGGACACGGAAUUCCGGGUGGAGUGGUGAAAUGCGUAGAGAUCCGGAGGAACACCAAAGGCGAAGGCAGUGUCCUGGGGAGUACCUGACGCUCGAGGUGCGAAAGCCAGGGGAGCGAACAGG
rnacentral:rRNA from 1 species